UACGAAGGGUGCAAGCGUUACUCGGAAUUACUGGGCGUAAAGCGUGCGUAGGUGGUUCGUUAAGUCUGAUGUGAAAGCCCUGGGCUCAACCUGGGAAUGGCAUUGGAUACUGGCGACCUAGAGUGCGGUAGAGGGUGGCGGAAUUCCCGGUGUAGCAGUGAAAUGCGUAGAUAUCGGGAGGAACAUCCGUGGCGAAGGCGGCCACCUGGACCAGCACUGACACUGAGGCACGAAAGCGUGGGGAGCGAACAGG
rnacentral:rRNA from 1 species